rnacentral:rRNA from 1 species
UACGUAGGGUGCGAGCGUUGUCCGGAAUUAUUGGGCGUAAAGAGCUCGUAGGCGGCUUGUCACGUCGGUUGUGAAAGCCCGGGGCUUAACCCCGGGUCUGCAGUCGAUACGGGCAGGCUAGAGUUCGGUAGGGGAGAUCGGAGUUCCUGGUGUAGCGGUGAAAUGCGCAGAUAUCAGGAGGAACACCGGUGGCGAAGGCGGAUCUCUGGGCCGAUACUGACGCUGAGGAGCGAAAGCUAGGGGAGCAAACAGG